UACAGAGGGUGCGAGCGUUGUUCGGAAUUAUUGGGCGUAAAGCGCUUGUAGGCGGCUUGUUAAGUUCCGUGUGAAAUCCCCAGGCUUAACCUGGGAAGUGCGCGGAAAACUGGCGAGCUUGAGUGCCGGAGAGGGUCGCGGAAUUCCCGGUGUAGAGGUGAAAUUCGUAGAUAUCGGGGAGGAACACCAGUGGCGAAGGCGGCG
rnacentral:rRNA from 1 species